rnacentral:rRNA from 1 species
GAUGAACGCUGGCGGCGUGCCUAAUACAUGCAAGUCGAGCGAACGGAUGAGAAGCUUGCUUCUCUGAUGUUAGCGGCGGACGGGUGAGUAACACGUGGAUAACCUACCUAUAAGACUGGGAUAACUUCGGGAAACCGGAGCUAAUACCGGAUAAUAUUUUGAACCGCAUGGUUCAAAAGUGAAAGACGGUCUUGCUGUCACUUAUAGAUGGAUCCGCGCUGCAUUAGCUAGUUGGUAAGGUAACGGCUUACCAAGGCAACGAUGCAUAGCCGACCUGAGAGGGUGAUCGGCCACACUGGAACUGAGACACGGUCCAGACUCCUACGGGAGGCAGCAGUAGGGAAUCUUCCGCAAUGGGCAAAAGCCUGACGGAGCAACGCCGCGUGAGUGAUGAAGGUCUUCGGAUCGUAAAACUCUGUUAUUAGGGAAGAACAUAUGUGUAAGUAACUGUGCACAUCUUGACGGUACCUAAUCAGAAAGCCACGGCUAACUACGUG